GACGAACGCUGGCGGCGUGCCUAAUACAUGCAAGUUGAGCGCUGAAGGCUGGUACUUGUACCAACUGGAUGAGCAGCGAACGGGUGAGUAACGCGUGGGGAAUCUGCCUUUGAGCGGGGGACAACAUUUGGAAACGAAUGCUAAUACCGCAUAAAAACUUUAAACACAAGUUUUAAGUUUGAAAGAUGCAAUUGCAUCACUCAAAGAUGAUCCCGCGUUGUAUUAGCUAGUUGGUGAGGUAAAGGCUCACCAAGGCGAUGAUACAUAGCCGACCUGAGAGGGUGAUCGGCCACAUUGGGACUGAGACACGGCCCAAACUCCUACGGGAGGCAGCAGUAGGGAAUCUUCGGCAAUGGACGAAAGUCGGACCAAGCAACGCCGCGUGAGUGAAGAAGGUUUUCGGGUCGUAAAACUCUGUUGGUAGAGAGGAACGUUGGUGAGAGUGGAAAGCUCAGCAAGUGACGGUAACGACCCAGAAAGGGACGGCUAACUACGUG
rnacentral:rRNA from 1 species